AGUCGUAACAAGGUUUCCGUAGGUGAACCUGCGGAAGGAUCAUUAACGAAGAGUUGGUUGUUAGGGGUUGUUAGGUGGUAGAUUUGAUGUCUGGAUUUGGAAACAAUUGAUAUCCAGAUAAUAUCCGAAUAUCAAAUCUGGCUAUCAAAUCCAGACAUCAAAUCUAUACCAUAUCCCUUUUCCUAACAUAUCACAAGUGCUUUUAGUAUCGAAUAGAUACUAAUGCGCGAAACAAAAAAUAUAUAUGUAUAUAUGUGUAUCCGUGUGUGUAUAUAUAUGUAUCGUGUAUAUAUGUAUCAUCAUGUAUCCGUGUAUAUCUAUAUAUAUAUAUAUAUAAUCAUUAUUAUUAUCGUUAUCAUUAUCAAUACAAUUAACUAAACAAACAAACAACUUUUAACAAUGGAUCUCUAGGCUCUU
rnacentral:misc_RNA from 1 species